rnacentral:piRNA from 1 species
UGUUAUUAUAUGUGGAUGUAAAU